GACGAAGGAUGCAAGCGUUAUCCGGAUUCAUUGGGUUUAAAGGGUGCGUAGGUGGUUUUAUAAGUCAGUGGUGAAAUCUCUGGGCUUAACCCAGAAAUUGCCAUUGAUACUGUAGGACUUGAGUAUAGUUGCCGUUGGCGGAAUAUGACAUGUAGUGGUGAAAUACAUAGAGAUGUCAUAGAACACCGAUUGCGAAGGCAGCUAACGAAACUAUAACUGACACUGAGGCUCGAAAGUGUGGGGAUCAAACAGG
rnacentral:rRNA from 1 species